rnacentral:lncRNA from 1 species
CACCAUAUGCUCUGUAUUCCCAUCGUUCAAAGGGAUCGAAACUAGAUCUUCGAUUGGCCCGCCUCUUUCCUCAGCGAGAUCAUCGUGGGCAUCUAAACCAUCAACCGGACAGAGAUCAGAUUAGUCACUUUUUGCGAGGCUAUGCUGUAGCAGUGUCUGGCCAGGGCUUGGUCUCUCUUGACUUCUCCGACCCCCUGGCUAGUAGGAAAUUUCAAUUUCAGAUGG